rnacentral:rRNA from 1 species
GGAUAACUUACCCUUUAGGACUGGGAUAACUCUGGGAAACUGGGGAUAAUACUGGAUAUUAGGCUAUGCCUGGAAUGGUUUGCCUUUGAAAUGUUUUUUUCGCCUAAGGAUAGGUCUGCGGCUGAUUAGGUCGUUGGUGGGGUAAUGGCCCACCAAGCCUAUGAUCGGUACGGGUUGUGAGAGCAAGAGCCCGGAGAUGGAACCUGAGACAAGGUUCCAGACCCUACGGGGUGCAGCAGGCGCGAAACCUCCGCAAUGUACGAAAGUGCGACGGGGGGAUCCCAAGUGUUAUUCUUAAUAGGAUAACUUUUCAUUAGUGUAAAAAGCUUUUAGAAUAAGAGCUGGGCAAGACCGGUGCCAGCCGCCGCGGUAACACCGGCAGCUCUAGUGGUAGCAGUUUUUAUUGGGCCUAAAGCGUCCGUAGCCGGUUUAAUAAGUCUCUGGUGAAAUCCUGUAGCUUAACUGUGGGAAUUGCUGGAGAUACUAUUAGACUUGAGACCGGGAGAGGUUAGAGGUACUCCCAGGGUAGAGGUGAAAUUCUGUAAUCCUGGGAGGACCACCUGUGGCGAAGGCGUCUAACUGGAACGAUCUUGACGGUGAGUAACGAAAGCCAGGGGCGCGAACCGGAUUAGAUACCCGGGUAGUCCUGGCCGUAAACGAUGUGGACUUGGUGUUGGAAUGGCUUCGAGUUGUUCCAGUGCCGAAGGGAAGCUGUUAAGUCCACCGCCUGGGAAGUACGGUCGCAAGACUGAAACUUAA